GUUGAAACACCUGUUCACGUACGAUCACCAACGUUAAGCAACGUCGAGCUUUGUCAAUACCUAGAUGGGUAACCGUUUGGGAAUACCAGUUGCUGUAA
rnacentral:rRNA from 1 species